AUCGGGAGUAGUAGGUAGUGAGAGCUCAACCCCAAGAAAAAGAGGGUUUAAGCCGCAGCAGCUUGAAUGGAGAGCAUGAGAUGCAUAGGCAUUGGUACUCCAAGACUGGUUACUCCGCCAAUAAUCCCCCACCCAUCUCUAAGAAAAUCCUCCAAACUCAUUUGCACCACCACCUACUCCGCCAGCAAAUGGGCCGAUCGCCUCUUCAGCGACUUUCAAUUCUUGAACACCACCGCCGAAACCUCCUCCGACCUCCGCCAUUCUCUCCCCUCUUCCACAGCCAUCAUCGCUCCUCCUUCCCCCGCCCAUCAUUCUCCUCCUGAGCGCCACGUCUCCAUCCCUCUUCAUUUCUAUCAGGUGUUAGGAGCUGAGACACAUUUCCUUGGAGACGGUAUAAAGAGAGCUUAUGAAGCUAGGAUUUCUAAGCCGCCUCAGUUGGGCUUCAGUCAAGAUGCAUUGAUUAGUCGUCGGCAGAUUCUCCAAGCCGCAUUUGAAACCCUAGCGGAUCCAAAAUCAAGAAGAGAAUAUAAUCAAGGCUUGAUCGAUGACGAGCAGGAUACUAUCAUCACUCAGGUCCCGUGGGACAAGGUUCCUGGGGCUCUAUGUGUUUUGCAAGAAGCAGGGGAAAUUGAGGUUGUUCUUGAAAUUGGAGACAAUUUGCUUCGAGAGAGGCUGCCCAAGGCAUUCAAGCAAGAUGUUGUGCUGGCAAUGGCGCUUGCUUAUGUGGACAUGUCGAGGGAUGCUAUGGCAUUGAAUCCCCCAGAUUUCAUCCGAGGUU
rnacentral:misc_RNA from 1 species